rnacentral:rRNA from 1 species
AUUGAACGCUGGCGGCAUGCCUUACACAUGCAAGUCGAACGGCAGCGGACCUUCGGGUGCCGGCGAGUGGCGAACGGGUGAGUAAUAUAUCGGAACGUACCUUUCAGUGGGGGAUAACGUAGCGAAAGUUACGCUAAUACCGCAUAUUCUGUGAGCAGGAAAGCAGGGGAUCGCAAGACCUUGCGCUGAUUGAGCGGCCGAUAUCAGAUUAGCUAGUUGGUGAGGUAAAGGCUCACCAAGGCGACGAUCUGUAGCGGGUCUGAGAGGAUGAUCCGCCACACUGGAACUGAGACACGGUCCAGACUCCUACGGGAGGCAGCAGUGGGGAAUUUUGGACAAUGGGCGCAAGCCUGAUCCAGCCAUGCCGCGUGAGUGAAGAAGGCCUCGGUUGUAAGACC